AGUCUCCUGUUAAUGAGGCUCUCUGCCUGGCUCUUGGCCUGAUGAUCACUGGCCUGGCUCUUGGUGGGAUCAGCUGAGGAGGACCUGCUUGUGGGAGGCCCAGAGGACUGUUGAUUAAGGAUGAUGGGGGAACAGACCAGAGAGGGUGGAGGGACCAUAAUGCUUGGCGGAGAUCAGGAACCAGGGAACUACUACGUGGGUGUGGACGUUGGAACAGGAAGUGUGCGUGCGGCUCUGGUAGACCAGAGGGGCAUCCUUUUGGCUUUUGCAGACCAGCCGAUCAACCAGUGGGAGCCUCAGUUCAACCACCAUGAGCAGUCCUCCGAGGACAUCUGGGCUGCAUGCUGUGUUGUCACAAAGCAAGUUGUACAAGGGAUUGAUGUAAACCAAAUCCGAGGGCUUGGGUUUGAUGCCACGUGUUCUCUGGUGGUUUUGGAUAAGCAGUUUCGUCCUUUGCCAGUAAACCAUGAAGGGGAUGCCCACCGAAACAUCAUCAUGUGGCUGGACCACCGGGCGGUCAGUCAGGUCCGCAGGAUCAACGAGACCAAGCACAGCGUCCUGCAGUUUGUUGGCGGCAUCAUGUCCGUGGAGAUGCAGGCCCCGAAGCUUCUGUGGCUCAAAGAGAACUUGAGAGAGACGUGCUGGGAUAAGGCAGGACAUUUCUUUGAUCUCCCAGACUUCUUAUCGUGGAAGGCAACAGGUGUCACAGCACGGUCUCUCUGCUCCCUGGUGUGCAAAUGGACAUACUCUGCCGAGAAAGGCUGGGAUGACAGUUUCUGGAAGAUGAUUGGAUUGGAAGAUUUUGUUGCAGAUAAUUACAACAAAAUAGGAAACCAAGUGCUGCCUCCUGGAGCUUCUCUUGGAAAUGGGCUCACACCAGAGGCAGCGAAGGACCUUGGCCUUCCUGCUGGAAUUGCGGUGGCAGCUUCGCUGAUUGACGCCCACGCAGGAGGCCUAGGAGUGAUUGGAGCAGAUGUGAGAGGGUAUGGCCUUGCCUGUGAGGGACAGCCAGUGACGUCACGGCUGGCUGUCAUCUGUGGAACAUCUUCUUGUCACAUGGGGAUCAGCAAAGAUCCAAUUUUUGUACCGGGUGUCUGGGGCCCUUAUUUCUCAGCCAUGGUCCCUGGGUUCUGGUUGAAUGAAGGUGGUCAGAGCGUUACUGGAAAACUGAUAGACCACAUGGUGCAGGGUCAUGCUGCCUUCCCUGAACUACAAGCCAAGGCCACAGCCAGAUGCCAGAGUGUAUAUGCAUAUUUGAACAGUCACCUGGAUCUGAUUAAGAAGGCUCAGCCUGUGGGUUUUCUCACUGUUGAUUUACAUGUUUGGCCAGAUUUCCAUGGCAACCGGUCUCCCUUAGCAGAUCUGACACUGAAGGGCAUGGUCACCGGGUUGAAACUGUCUCAGGACCUCGAUGAUCUUGCCAUUCUCUACCUGGCCACAGUUCAAGCCAUUGCUUUUGGCACCCGCCUCAUCAUAGAGGCCAUGGAGGCGGGGGGACACUCUAUCAGCACGCUUUUUUUGUGUGGAGGCCUGAGCAAGAAUCCUCUUUUUGUACAGAUGCAUGCGGACAUCACUGGCAUGCCUGUGGUCCUGUCGCAAGAGGUGGAGUCUGUUCUUGUGGGCGCUGCUAUUCUGGGUGCCUGUGCCUCGGGAGAUUUCGCUUCUGUACAGCUCUCUUCAGCUCCUGAGAAAGAUCUGCUGCCUACGAGUCAGAAGUCCCAAGUUCUAGGUCAAGGUUUGGCAUCUGCUGAUUUUGUGAUCUUCCCUGGGUGUUGUCCAUUUCCUGCUCUGAGGCAUUGCCAACACUGUGGUAUUUCACCACUGAAUCCACUGUGCACAGAGGAGGCAAUGGCAAGAAUGAGCAAAGUUGGGAAGGUCGUGUUUCCCAGACUUGAGGAUAAAAGAUACUAUGACAAGAAAUACCAAGUCUUCCUGAAGUUGGUUGAGCACCAGAAGGAAUACGUAGCGAUCAUGAAAGGAGACUGAAGAGACCUUGCAGGUGUCGGUGCCAGAAGGUCCUUCGGGGACCUCUGUCUUCUCAUCUUACAUUCGAGAUCCUUUAGCAGAUGUAUAAAUAUCCAGGAGGCCCCUUCUGAUGCUCAUUGGUUGAUCAAAGUCCUGUGUUAUUGCUCUUGGCAAGCAGAGUGGUAAAGUGAGAAAGCCUCCAGCCAUGGAGUCACUGAGUCCUUCACAUCACAGCUCCCCUGCUUACUAAUGGACGUGGUAUGUGACCUCCCGCGAGCCGGUUGACCUCUGCGUCUCUGUUUCUUAUCUUAAAAUGUAGGAGGAAAGAAAAUCUGCCUCGUGGCUGAUGUGAGGAAUAAAUGGGAUGAUGUUUCCAAGUGCCCGGCACCAUGCCUCACAUAAAAAAGAAGUACCACAAAUGCCACUUUUUCUCCUGAACCGGUCUGUUUCUGCGUUAGCAGAUUUCUAGAAGCAUUGCUUCAGGUCAAGGUGGACAACAUCAUCUCCUGUUUCUAGGAGUAAAUCUUCUGUGUUCCAUCAUCAACAACCCAGCCAGCUAUUGAGCUUUUGCAAUGUCAGGAGAUCUGGAACAGUCCCUGUUGAUGCACGAAGGGGCCAGCAUUAGGCUUGAGAGAGAGGGGACAGACAUAUCCAGGAACAGAUUUCACAGAAAUGUCGAGCGAGGUGCCAAUGAGCAUCAGAGUUGAUAGGCACUUCAAGAGGCCCAAGGAUGCCAGUAACAUGGGUAUGUCUGGAGAGACUCAUCCAGAAAUGAGCCAAGUGGAAACAUGUCCAGCCCUGCCUUUCUGAGAUCUGUUAAGCUCUAGGUACUGAACAUCUUCUCCCUUUAGAUUCAGCUCUGCUCCAUCCCUGAGGUAACCAAGGCAGAGCAGGCCAUAUGUAUCCGGUUCAGACCACCCCCAGCUUCCUGCCAGUGGGUCUGGAAUUUAUCUUUUUACCAUUAGCCCCUGGGCACCUGGAGCCCCACCAAAUCAGAGACUUCUCCCCUAAAAUAUAAAUACAUGUUUGUCAAACCCAGCAUGACCCCUUAACGCUGUGCCAUGAUCCUUUGCUAAUCACAAAGCGAGAGAAAUGUUGAGUCCUCCCACGUGGCACACUGCUUUAUUCCUAAGCCCUACGUCAAAGUCCACA